rnacentral:rRNA from 1 species
CCUACGGGUGGCAGCAGUGAGGAAUAUUGGUCAAUGGACGAGAGUCUGAACCAGCCAAGUAGCGUGAAGGAUGACUGCCCUAUGGGUUGUAAACUUCUUUUAUAUGGGAAUAAAAUGUUCCACGUGUGGGAUUUUGUAUGUACCAUACGAAUAAGGAUCGGCUAACUCCGUGCCAGCAGCCGCGGUAAUACGGAGGAUCCGAGCGUUAUCCGGAUUUAUUGGGUUUAAAGGGAGCGUAGGUGGAUUGUUAAGUCAGUUGUGAAAGUUUGCGGCUCAACCGGAAAAUUGCAGUUGAAACUGGCAGUCUUGAGUACAGUAGAGGUGGGCGGAAUGCGUGGUGUAGCGGUGAAAUGCUUAGAUAUCACGAAGAACUCCGAUUGCGAAGGCAGUUCACUGGACUGCAACUGACACUGAGGCUCGAAAGUGUGGGUAUCAAACAGGAUUAGAUACCCCUGUAGUC